CAGUCUUGUUAGGUUGAGGCUGAAUAAUUGCAGAGAACUUGAGAGUCUUCCAAGCAGCAUUUCUCACAUGAAAUCUCUUGAAUACCUUGAUGUUUCUGGAUGCUCAAAGCUUGAAAAGUUUCCAGAAAUUUUGGAGGUUAUGAAGAAGCUAUCUGAGCUUUGUUUGGAUGCACUGCAAUUAAGGAGCUGCCUGCUUCUAUUUUAAAUCUCAUCAGUCUUGUUAGGUUGAGGCUGAAUAAUUGCAGAGAACUUGAGAGUCUUCCAAGCAGCAUUUCUCACAUGAAAUCUCUUAAAUACCUUGAUGUUUCUGGAUGCUCAAAGCUUGAGAAGUUUCCAGAAAUUUCAGAGGUUAUGAAGAAGCUAUCUGAGCUUUGUUUGGGUGGCACUGCAAUUAAGGAGCUGCCUGCUUCUAUUUUAAAUCUCAUCAGUCUUGUUAGGUUGAGGCUGAAUAAUUGCAGAGAACUUGAGAGUCUUCCAAGCAGCAUUUCUCACAUGAAAUCUCUUGAAUACCUUGAUGUUUCUGGAUGCUCAAAGCUUGAAAGUUUCCAGAAAGUUUUGGAGGUUAGGAAGAAGCCUAUCUGAGCUUUGUUUGGGUGGCACUGCAAUUAAGGAGCUGCCUGCUUCUAUUUUAAAUCUCAUCAGUCUUGUUUGGUUGAGGCUGAAUAAUUGCAGAGAACUUGAGAGUCUUCCAAGCAGCAUUUCUCACAUGAAAUCUCUUAAAUACCUUGAUGUUUCUGGAUGCUCAAAGAUUGAGAAGUUUCCAGAAAGUUUGGAGGUUAGGAAGGAGCUAUCUGAUCUUUGUUUGGGUGGCACUGCAAUUAAGGCGCUGCCUGCUUCUAUUUUAAAUCUCACCAGUCUUGUUACUUUGAAGUUGAAUGAUUGCAGAGAACUUGAGAGUCUUCCAAGCAUCAUUUCUCACAUGAAAUCUCUUGGAUACCUUGAUGUUUCUGGAUGCUCAAAGAUUGAGAAGUUUCCAGAAAUUUUGGAGGUUAUGAAGGAGCUAUCUAUUCUUUGUUUGGGUGGCACUGCAAUUAAGGAGCUGCCUGCUUCUAUUUUAAAUCUCACCAGUCUUGAUACUUUGAAACUGAAUGAUUGCAGAGAACUUGAGAGUCUUCCAAGCAUCAUUUCUCACAUGAAAUCUCUUAAAUACCUUGAUGUUUCUGGAUGCUCAAAGCUUGAGAAGUUUCCAGAAAUUUUGGAGGUUAUGAAGAAGCUAUCUGAGCUUUGUUUGGGUGGCACUGCAAUUAAGAAGCUGCCUGCUUCUAUUUUAAAUCUCACCAGUCUUGGUAGGUUGAGGCUGAAUAAUUGCAGAGAACUUGAGAGUCUUCCAAGCAGCAUUUCUCACAUGAAAUCUCUUAAAUACCUUGAUGUUUCUGGAUGCUCAAAGCUUGAAAAGUUUCCAGAAAUUUUGGAGGUUAGGAAGAAGCUAUCUGAGCUUUGUUUGGGUGGCACUGCAAUUAAGGAGCUGCCUGCUUCUAUUUUAAAUCUCAUCAGUCUUGUUAGGUUGAGGCUGAAUAAUUGCAGAGAACUUGAGAGUCUUCCAAGCAGCAUUUCUCACAUGAAAUCUCUUAAAUACCUUGAUGUUUCUGGAUGCUCAAAGAUUGAGAAGUUUCCAGAAAUUUUGGAGGUUAGGAAGGAGCUAUCUGAUCUUUGUUUGGGUGGCACUGCAAUUAAGGAGCUGCCUGCUUCUAUUUUAAAUCUCACCAGUCUUGUUACUUUGAAUUUGAAUGAUUGCAGAGAACUUGAGAGUCUUCCAAGCAGCAUUUCUCACAUGAAAUCUCUUGAGUACCUUGAUGUUUCUGGAUGCUCAAAGAUUGAGAAGUUUCCAGAAAUUUUGGAGGUUAGGAACGUGCUAUCUAAGCUUUGUUUGGGUGGCACUGCAAUUAAGGAGCUGCCUGCUUCUAUUUUAAAUCUCACCAGUCUUGUUACUUUGAAUUUGAAUGAUUGCAGAGAACUUGAGAGUCUUCCAAGCUGCAUUUCUCACAUGAAAUCUCUUGAAUACCUUGAUGUUUCUGGAUGCUCAAAGCUUGAGAAGUUUCCAGAAAAUUUGGAGGUUAUGAAUGAGCUAUCUGAGCUUUGUUUGGGUGGCACUGCAAUUAAGGAGCUGCCUGCUUCUAUUUUAAAUCUCACCAGUCUUGUUACUUUGAAGUUGAAUGAUUGCGGAGAACUUGAGAGUCUUCCAAGCAUCAUUUCUCACAUGAAAUCUCUUAAAUACCUUGAUGUUUCUGGAUGCUCAAAGCUUGAGAAGUUUCCAGAAAUUUUGGAGGUUAGGAAGGAGCUAUCUAAGCUUUGUUUGGGUGGCACUGCAAUUAAGAAGCUGCCUGCUUCUAUUUUAAAUCUCACCAGUCUUGAUACUUUGAAACUGAAUGAUUGCAGAGAACUUGAGAGUCUUCCAAGCAGCAUUUCUCACAUGAAAUCUCUUAAAUACCUUGAUGUUUCUGG
rnacentral:lncRNA from 1 species